UUUAAAAAUAAAAAAUAAUAAUUAAUUACUUAAGCGACGAAAGUAUAAUUUUUCGUCGCCUAAGUACCAAAAUUUUUAGCGGCAACGUUUCCGCCAAAACAUUUCACGAAAACUCAAACCAAAAAUUUUAUUUUCUUUUUAACUUAAACUCUACCCUCACUCUCCUAAAAAAACUCCACCCUCACCCAAAAAAAUUAACUCUCUCACUCUCUCUUCAUAUAAAAAAACUCCACCCUCACCCAAAAAAUUAAAUCUCUCACUCUCUCUUCAUACCAUCCCUCUUCUCUUCUCCAUGCCUCACUCUCUUUCUCUGCAUCUGCCGCCGUCAUCUCCGGCGUAGCGUCGCCGGUUCUGGCUGCCGCACGCCACAAGAUCACCACCAAAACAUCCACUUUUCCCUCCUCUAUCUCCUCAUACUCACCAGGUUGACAUAUCCACUCUCGAAGGAGAUCGAAGCCGAGGUAGCACGGCGGAGUUCGCCGAUUUCAGGCGAGCUUGGGCAGCGAUAGCAACUUCGGUGAGUAGGGUUUCCUUUCUCUUCUCUUCUUCUUCAAUUUCAUGUCUUAAUCUUUGGAUUGAAGCCCUAAUGUGAAAAUCCCCUUUUCUGCCAUUUUUCUAGGUUUGUCGAGGUUGUUUUCCGGCGAGGCCUCCGGCGAGACCAAACGAGGACACACGGGUUGAUGACGCCGUCAACAUCGGCAGCGGCUCCCGGGUCGGCCCGGUCGGGGGCGAGCUAGGACUGACGGCCGAGAGAGAAGCGGGCCGUACGUGGCGGUCCAUUCGGGUUCGGAUCGGAGCUUAUAGAGUAGAGGGAGAGAAAUAGGUGAGGUUGGUUUGGAUUGGAAGAAAUAGGUGGUUGAUUUGAGGGAGAGACUAGCUAGGACUGAUUCAUGAUCGGACCAUAUUUUCAUGUUGGGAUUUGCCGGAUCUGUGUUGGGAUUUGCCGGAUCGGUGGUGGUAUUUGGGACAGAGGAUGUCAAUUUUUUUUUUAGACUUAGCGACGGAAUCUAAUAAUUCCGUCGCCUAGGGGAAAAAUAAUUUUUUUUGUCAUUAAACAAUAUUAGUCACCUAAGUACUUAGGCGACGGAAAAAAUUCCGUUGCCUAAGUAAUUCUUAGUCGACGGAACUCAAUUUUUCGUCGUCCUAACACCUACCUCACAUCACUUAGGCGACGGAUAUUUCGUUGCCUAAGUACUUAGGAGACGAAUUUUGUUACUUAGGAGACGAAACUAUUCAGUCUCCUAAGUGACUUUUUCCAGUAGUGAGAUAUGGUAAAGGAGUUAUGAGUUUUCUAGAAUAUGCGCUGGCUAAUGCUAACGGGAAUAUAAUUUUCUAUUGCCCGUGCACGAAAUGUCAGUGUCACAGCGAUAUGCAUCGAUUUGGGAUUGACAAAAUAUGGCAGCACCUGAAGAGUAAUGGGUUUUGGGAGAAGUACACAUGUUGGUUUUAUCAUGGUGAAACAUCAUCAGGGGGUCCGCAUGAUCAUGGCCGAUGAUGAUGUGACGGCUAAAGUUAUCGCCGACGACUUUUUCCCGACGAAAUCUUAGCCGACGAGCCUUCGUCGGCUAAGAUCUUAGCCGACGAAUUAUGCUAACAGGCCGACGAAACUUUUUCGUCGGCUUAAGUGCUUGUCCUGGUAGUGGGAGAUAAUAUGAGAGCGGGACGAAGAGUGAUCCACAACAGUGAGGUAAUAUUAGAGCGCGGGAGACAAAGAGUACUAAUCGAGAACAAUGAAAGAGAUAAAGAUAGGGACCAAGGAGCAGACCAAGGAUUUUCCUAUGUGUAGAGAAAAUCCAGAUGCAUUUUAAAUAAAAUACAAGUCAUCUUCGAUGACCGAAUUUUGAAUAAAUCCCAAAUUAGUAAAAAUAUUAGUUUUAUAUAUAUAUAUAUAUAUAUAUAUAUACACCU
rnacentral:lncRNA from 1 species